CAGCCUGGAAACAAAAUGUCCUGACAGCAUCACAUUAAUCUCCUGUUGGCUUACUCCUCUCCAACACUAUGCCAUUAAAGAAGCCAAGGGGAGUGCCUGCACUUGAAGAGGAAGCUUUGAGCACAGCGUUUCUUACAUGGUGAGUUCUCAGUAACUUAUUCUGAUUAUUAAGGGGGCACAGCUGGGUGGGCUCACAGGCGGACUGAGAGUCCAGCAAUACCCACCAAAGACCCCAGCAUAGCCAUCAGGAAGGGACUCCUGGAUUAACUGGCAUAAAUUCUGGAGCAUAAGUUGGCUUUGGGUUUUGGUCUGUGUUGUGGGUUCAACAGUCGCCCCAAAUUUCAUGUCACCUGGACCUUCAGAAUGUGACCUUAUUUGGAAAUAAGGUCUUUGCAGAUGUAAUUAGUUGAGUAUCUCGAGACGAAAUCAUCCUGGAUUUAGGGAGGGGCCUCAGUCCAAUGAGUGGUGUCCUCAGAAGAGGAGAGGACACAGAGAGACAGAGAGAAGGCCAUACGAAGAAGAAGGUGGAGAUUGGAGUGACGCUGCCACAACCCGGGAUGCCUGGGACCACCGAAAUUUGGAAGAGGCAAGGAAGGGUCCCCCUCUAGAGCCUUCUGAGGGAGUAUGACCCUGUUGACACCUUGAUUUCAGACUUCCGGCUUCCAGACGCACAGGACUUUGCAACAAAGGACAACGGCUUUGCCAAGGACCGAAGACUGAGUCACUGCUACGGUCCUGGAGAGAAGAGACAGAGAUCAGAGGAGAUCCACGCACAUGAACAAUUUUUUAAGUAAUUCUAAUAACAGAGUUUCUAUCAUACAUUUUUGCCUGAGGAUUUUCACCUGUAUGGAUUCACUUAAUUCUCACAGUAUCCCUCUGCAGCGGGAGAGGCUUAGGUGUUACAUUCUCAUUUAGCAGAUGAAGAAAUUGAGGCUCAGAGAGGAUUACGUAGGUUCUCAUGGGAAAUCAGACAUGAUUCUCAAACUGAAAGUAAUGCUAAUAACACUGUAUCAUCCAGGCUCCCAGCAGGAAACACACAGCACCCUUCAAAGAGGUGAUUCAUGGGAGUAUAAUGAAGGGACUAUUUACAAAGGUGUGCACAGGGUUAAGGGAAACCAGGAUGGGCUAGCGAAGCAUCCCAGGCUAAGCAAGAGCAAGAAAGCUCCUGCUACCCAUAGGCCUGGAGGGGCAAAGAGAUGGAGGGAGCAGUUGCUGGAACUCUGGUGAGAGCUGUGCCCGCAGGAGAGGGCCGCCAGGCAGGAGCCAUUGCCAAGGAAUGAACACCCCAUCGCUCUUUCCUCUCACCCCCUCCCAUUUCUUGUUGGUGCCUCCCAUUGGCCAAAUCCAACUGGAAGCCAGAGGGCAACUACACCCAGAGUAUGCAGUCCGGGAGGUCAGGUUGCCACGGCCGAGAGCCAAACCAGCGGGGAAGAGCGUGGAGCAGAUCUGAGGGGCACAGAAAACCCAUCUAUGAUCUGCUGUGCACUUAUUGCUUGGUGAACACCAUACAAGGGGACUUCCAGGAGGGUCUUGUGCAAGCCUCGCUAUAAUCUUGUGUAGUAGAUAUGAAACCUCAGGCUGACAAUUGACGUGGGUAAAAAUGGAAACUUUGCUUUCUGUAAUUUAAUUUAGUUUCUGUAUGGAGCCUCCC
rnacentral:lncRNA from 1 species